rnacentral:rRNA from 1 species
GACUAACGCUGGCGGCGUGCUUAACACAUGCAAGUCGAACGGAAAGGCCCUGCUUUUUUGGUGGGCUCGAGAGUCGACCGGUUAGUUAACACGUGAGUAGCCUGCCCUUGACUUUGUGCUAACUUCAAGGAACUGGGGCUAAUACCGGAUGGAAGCUACUGCUUCAUGGUGGGGGUUCGAAAGUUUCGGCGGUUGGGGAUGUACUCGCGGCUUAUCAGCUUGUUGGUGAGGUAGUGGCUUACCAAGUCUUUGCCGGGUAGCCGGCCUGAGAGGGUGACCGGGCACAUUGGGACUGAGAUACGGCCCAGACGCCUACGGGAGGGAGCAGUGGGGAAUAUUGCACAAUGGGCGGAAGCCUGAUGCAGCAACGCCGCGUGCGGGAUAAUGGCCUUCGGGUUGUAAACCGCUUUCGUCUGGGACGAAGCGUGAGUGACGGUAAUGGGUAAAGAAGCACCGGCUAACUACGUG